UUCACAAUCAACGAUCAUUUCUCAGGUGUUUAUUUAUAACAAAACUACAACAAAACUACAAUAAAACAAAAGUAUUUCAGAACACUGUCAAAGAAGGUAGUCUCCCUGUCAUCGUUUGAGCUGCAACUAUCUUCAGCCUGAAUUAAAUGAUUUAAAAAAAAAAUAUAUACAGUAUGUUGUUAGGCAAUAUACAUAGCCAGUUGAGUAUAACAUCAGAUGCUUAAGAAUUACCCUUAAAUAACCUAUUCAAUAUUUCGUCAGUAUCAUAACCUACCCUUUAAUAAAUAAAACUGUCCAAGUAUGAGGACAAUGGCUGUGCCUGGGCUGCUUUUAAUUAGGCUCUGUCACUUUUGAGAAAAGAGGACAAAACACAUGACACUGGAAAUGAAUGAAAUAAUCGCGGACUACCCGAAAUUACGGUGUUAUUUUAUUAUUUUCCAUAUUGCGUUGUUGGUUCGUUUGUGAUAUUUCACGCAUUAACGUUGUCGGCCCCACACACGUCAGCUUGGACUGCCCUGAAUCGUGGUGAAAACUCGACGUUCAUAGCAACAUAACCCAAAUAAAUAGGUUUGCCUAUCAUAGCCUACUUUCGUACUGCUUCUGCAACUUACCAGCACCGCUCGCUCUUCUUCGCUCGUCUGUCCCUGCACGACCGGGUGAUGCUCUGUCUCAACCUCCUCCUCUUGGCCGUCCUCCGCAGUCUUGCGUGGCUCAAUAGGCCUACUAAAUAGCUCAGUAAGCUUUUUACAUUUUGAUGCCUCCGCCUCUAAUGAUUAGGCCCUCUUCUCUUUCGAUUUCUCCCAGCCACCUUUCUCCUUACGCUUUCUACCUGACAUUUUCUUUCCCUCUUCUUUGUGUUUUUUUUGUUUGUUUCAAGUUUGGUGUCUUUUCCUCAUGUAAUUAAUUUAUCGAAUUGGCGCCCUCUGUUGUUUUGACGUUAAUAUCGCUGAUCAUUUUUUUUUCUUCUGAUGAGCCACAUAAAGGGACGGCCGUUCUGGACUUUGACAGAACGUCCCGUUGGUCAGUCCGCCCCUGGCAGAAUCUCUACACACUUGAUGGUAAUGAUGGCCAAUCAAAUUGAAGGCACUGUGUUGCCAAAUGGAAGAGAGGAAUGUCAGUUUUUUUUU